rnacentral:rRNA from 1 species
GACGAACGCUGGCGGCGUGCUUAACACAUGCAAGUCGAACGGAAAGGCCCUGCUUUUGUGGGGUGCUCGAGUGGCGAAAGGGUGAGUAACACGUGAGUAACCUGCCCUUGACUUUGGGAUAACUUCAGGAAACUGGGGCUAAUACCGGAUAGGAGCUCCUGCUGCAUUGUGGGGGGUGGAAAGUUUUGGCUGUUGGGGAUGGACUCGCGGCUUAUCAGCUUGUUGGUGGGGUAGUGGCUUACCAAGGCUUUGACGGGUAGCCGGCCUGAGAGGGUGACCGGCCACAUUGGGACUGAGAUACGGCCCAGACUCCUACGGGAGGCAGCAGUGGGGAAUAUUGCACAAUGGGCGGAAGCCUGAUGCAGCAACGCCGCGUGCGGGAUGACGGCCUUCGGGUUGUAAACCGCUUUCGCCUGUGACGAAGCGUGAGUGACGGUAAUGGGUAAAGAAGCACCGGCUAACUACGUG